GUUAGAUGUCUUUUGGAUACUUCUGUGAAUUCUGAACAUGGGAUCAACUGAUAUCAUCAGGGAUUGUGUAGCGAAAUUGAUGACAGUGAGAAUAUUGAGGCAAAGACUCCCCCAUCCUACAGGAAGCAUUGGCAAAAUGAAGCCAGGGAGGAUGGAGGCUCUAAUCACAUUACCUUAGGAUCAGUUUUGGAAACAAGAUCUGGCUCACAUCACCAUCCUAAUGUUU
rnacentral:lncRNA from 1 species